rnacentral:rRNA from 1 species
CAGUCGCCGCGGUAAUACGUAGGGUGCAAGCGUUAAUCGGAAUUACUGGGCGUAAAGCGUGCGCAGGCGGUUUGUUAAGACAGAUGUGAAAUCCCCGGGCUCAACCUGGGAACUGCAUUUGUGACUGGCAAGCUAGAGUCUGGCAGAGGGGGGUGGAAUUCCGCGUGUAGCAGUGAAAUGCGUAGAUAUGCGGAGGAACACCGAUGGCGAAGGCAGCCCCCUGGGCCAACACUGACGCUCAUGCACGAAAGCGUGGGGAGCAAACAGGAUUAGAUACCCCGGUAGUCCCUGUCUCUUAUAC